UUCGGAUCGCAGGCUGCAACCCGCCUGCGUGAAGUUGGAAUCGCUAGUAAUCGCGGAUCAGCAUGCCGCGGUGAAUACGUUCCCGGGCCUUGUACACACCGCCCGUCACACCAUGAGAGUCGGGAACACCCGAAGUCCGUAGCCUAACCGCAAGGGGGCGCGGCCGAAGGUGGGACUGGUGAUUGGGGUGAAGUCGUAACAAGGUACC
rnacentral:rRNA from 1 species